rnacentral:tRNA from 1 species
GGCUCCAUAGUGUAGUGGUUAGCACGUCUGCUUUACACGCAGAAGAAGGUCCUGGGUUCGUGCCCCAGGUGGAGCCA